AGCCUUGCCUAGCCGUGAGCCACCGCAGACUGCGCCCCGCUGCGCCGGGCCCUGUGCUCCGCGGCUCCGGCUCCACACGGAUCAUCUCUGGUGUCUACCGCAUCCUCCGAGCAGAGGAACGAGGUGCUCAUGUACCCUUCACUGAAGAAACUCUUCCCCUACCUGUGAAGGUGACCUCUGCAAUAGUCAGUGUGGACAGGAGCAUUCACUUUGUCCGGAACGGUGUGUCUACAGUCUGGCGAAGGCUGCUAUAGGCAGAGUACCCUCAGGAUUUCCUUCUAAGCCUUUGAGACUAUGCACAAGCCAUAGCAGCUUCGUUACAGCGGCCGCCUGACAACAAUGGAGAGAUGUUAAGUAUGAGCAAGUGUGCAUCUUAGAAUCGACACGUUCUCAAUCGGUUACAACUGUUAGGGCUGUUACUUUUUCAAUAUGUAUUUUUUCAGUGAGAAACAAUCAUAACACUUCAUGCUUGUAUACAACUUUACAGCUUCCAAAGCAUUUUCCUACACGUUAUCUGAUUGAAAUUUCAGCUUAAAACCAACAUUGGCAGGAAUAUCAUUUUCUCUGGUGGUAGAUGACGUUUCAAAAACCAGUAAGUCAGUAUUAUUAUCUGGCAAAUAAUUUUCAUUCUUUUGAUUUUUGUCUAAUGUAUGCUACUUCAUGAUGAUGUAAUAUGGUACCUUGAUGGGAUAUUGGAACAGAAAAAGGGCAUUCAACAAAAAUCAAGGACAUUUAAAUAUAAUAUGGACUUUAGUUGACAGCAACUCACUGAUGUUGGUUCCUUAAUUGCGACAAAUGUGCCAAUUAAAUGAAGUCUUGGGGGGGGUCCUAAUCUGACAGGAUUGGUGGCCUUGUGAGAAGAAGAGAAAGGCCUCUUUCUGAAGGGAAGAUCUCUCUCUGUCUCUCUCUCUCUCUCCCCACGCACACGCUAAAAGGAAGGCCAUGUGAGCACGCAGU